GACGAACGCUGGCGGCGUGCUUAACACAUGCAAGUCGAACGGAAAGGCCCUGCUUUUGUGGGGUGCUCGAGUGGCGAACGGGUGAGUAACACGUGAGUAACCUGCCCUUGACUUUGGGAUAACUUCAGGAAACUGGGGCUAAUACCGGAUAGGAGCUCCUGCUGCAUGGUGGGGGUUGGAAAGUUUCGGCGGUUGGGGAUGGACUCGCGGCUUAUCAGCUUGUUGGUGGGGUAGUGGCUUACCAAGGCUUUGACGGGUAGCCGGCCUGAGAGGGUGACCGGCCACAUUGGGACUGAGAUACGGCCCAGACUCCUACGGGAGGCAGCAGUGGGGAAUAUUGCACAAUGGGCGGAAGCCUGUUGCAGCAACGCCGCGUGCGGGAUGACGGCCUUCGGGUUGUAAACCGCUUUCGCCUGUGACGAAGCGUGAGUGACGGUAAUGGGUAAAGAAGCACCGGCUAACUACGUG
rnacentral:rRNA from 1 species